rnacentral:rRNA from 1 species
UACGGGGGGGGGCAAGCGUUGUUCGGAAUUACUGGGCGUAAAGGGCUCGUAGGCGGCCUUCUAAGUCGAACGUGAAAUCCCCGGGCUCAACCCGGGAACUGCGUCCGAUACUGGAAGGCUUGAAUCCGGGAGAGGGAUGCGGAAUUCCAGGUGUAGCGGUGAAAUGCGUAGAUAUCUGGAGGAACACCGGUGGCGAAGGCGGCAUCCUGGACCGGCAUUGACGCUGAGACGCGAAAGCGUGGGGAGCAAACAGG